AGCGAACGCUGGUGGCGUGCUUAACACAUGCAAGUCGAACGCGAAAGCCUCUUCGGAGGUUAGUAGAGUGGCGCACGGGUGAGUAAUAAAUAGGAACGUACCUAAAGGUGGGGGAUAACCUCGGGAAACCGUGGCUAAUACCGCGUAAUAUCGCAAGAUUAAAGAGGGCCUCUACUUGUAAGCUCUUGCCUUUAGAUCGGCCUAUUUCCCAUUAGCUUGUUGGUAGGGUAAAGGCCUACCAAGGCUACGAUGGGUAGCUGGUUUGAGAGAAUGAUCAGCCACACUGGAACUGAGACACGGUCCAG
rnacentral:rRNA from 1 species